CAGCAGUCGCCGCGGUAAUACGUAGGUGGCAAGCGUUGUCCGGAAUUAUUGGGCGUAAAGCGCGCGCAGGUGGUUUAAUAAGUCUGAUGUGAAAGCCCACGGCUCAACCGUGGAGGGUCAUUGGAAACUGUUAAACUUGAGUGCAGGAGAGAAAAGUGGAAUUCCUAGUGUAGCGGUGAAAUGCGUAGAGAUUAGGAGGAACACCAGUGGCGAAGGCGGCUUUUUGGCCUGUAACUGACACUGAGGCGCGAAAGCGUGGGGAGCAAACAGGAUUAGAUACCCCGGUAGUCCCUGUCUCUUAUAC
rnacentral:rRNA from 1 species